rnacentral:pre_miRNA from 11 species
GACCGCACGGGAUAAAUGAUUAUCCCGUGCGGACGAGUUAAGAGGACCGCACGGGAAGAUGUAUUUUUCCGUGCGGUU